rnacentral:tRNA from 1 species
AUUUAUAUAGCUUAUAUUUUAGAGCAUAACACUGAAGAUGUUAUUGAGAUACAAUUUUAUCUAUAAAUA